rnacentral:rRNA from 1 species
ACGAACGCUGGCGGCGUGCUUAACACAUGCAAGGCGAACGGAAAGGCCCUGCUUUUGUGGGGUGCUCGUGUGGCGAACGGGGGAGUAACACGUGAGUAACCUGCCCUUGACUUUGGGAUAACUUCAGGAAACUGGGGCUAAUACCGGCUAGGAGCUCCUGCUGCAUGGUGGGGGUUGGAAAGUUUCGGCGGUUGGGGAUGGACUCGCGGCUUAUCAGCUUGUUGGUGGGGUAGUGGCUUACCAAGGCUUUGCCGGGUAGCCGGCCUGAGAGGGUGACCGGCCACAUUGGGACUGGGAUACGGCCCAGACUCCUACGGGAGGCAGCAGUGGGGAAUAUUGCACUAUGGGCGGAAGCCUGAUGCAGCAACGCCGCGUGCGGGAUGACGGCCUUCGGGUUGUAAACCGCUUUCGCCUGUGACGAAGCGUGAGUGACGGUAAUGGGUAAAGAAGCACCGGCUAACUACGUG